AUUGAACGCUGGCGGCAGGCCUAACACAUGCAAGUCGAGCGGAUGAAGGGAGCUUGCUCCUGGAUUCAGCGGCGGACGGGUGAGUAAUUCCUAGGAAUCUGCCUGGUAGUGGGGGAUAACGUCCGGAAACGGGCGCUAAUACCGCAUACGACCUGAGGGAGAAAGUGGGGGAUCUUCGGACCUCACGCUAUCAGAUGAGCCUAGGUCGGAUUAGCUAGUUGGUGGGGUAAAGGCCUACCAAGGCGACGAUCCGUAACUGGUCUGAGAGGAUGAUCAGUCACACUGGAACUGAGCCACGGUCCAGACUCCUACGGGAGGCACCAGUGGGGAAUAUUGGACAAUGGGGGAAAGCCUGCUCCAGCCCUGCCGCGUGUGUGAAGAAGGUCUUCGGAUUGUAAAGCACUUUAAGUUGGGAGGAAGGGCAGUAAGUUAAUACCUUGCUGUUUUGACGUUACCAACAGAAUAAGCACCGGCUAACUUCGUG
rnacentral:rRNA from 1 species